GAAUUCGAUUAGAGUUUGAUCCUGGCUCAGAACGAACUCUGGCGGCAGGCCUAACACAUGCAAGUCGAGCGCGCCUUCGGGUGAGCGGCGGACGGGUUAGUAACGCGUGGGAACGUGCCCUUCUCUACGGAAUAGCCUCUGGAAACGGAGAGUAAUACCGUAUACGCCCUUUGGGGGAAAGAUUUAUCGGAGAAGGAUCGGCCCGCGUUAGAUUAGGUAGUUGGUGGGGUAACGGCCUACCAAGCCUACGAUCUAUAGCUGGUUUUAGAGGAUGAUCAGCAACACUGGGACUGAGACACGGCCCAGACUCCUACGGGAGGCAGCAGUGGGGAAUCUUAGACAAUGGGGGCAACCCUGAUCUAGCCAUGCCGCGUGAGUGAUGAAGGCCUUAGGGUCGUAAAGCUCUUUCGCCUGUGAUGAUAAUGACAGUAGCAGGUAAAGAAACCCCGGCUAACUCCGUGCCAGCAGCCGCGGUAAUACGGAGGGGGUUAGCGUUGUUCGGAAUUACUGGGCGUAAAGCGCGCGUAGGCGGAUUAGAAAGUUGGGGGUGAAAUCCCGGGGCUCAACCUCGGAACUGCCUCCAAAACUGCUAGUCUAGAGUUCGAGAGAGGUGAGUGGAAUUCCGAGUGUAGAGGUGAAAUUCGUAGAUAUUCGGAGGAACACCAGUGGCGAAGGCGGCUCACUGGCUCGAUACUGACGCUGAGGUGCGAAAGUGUGGGGAGCAAACAGGAUUAGAUACCCUGGUAGUCCACACCGUAAACGAUGAAUGCCAGUCGUCGGGUAGUAUACUAUUCGGUGACACACCUAACGGAUUAAGCAUUCCGCCUGGGGGAGUACGGUCGCAAGAUUAAAACUCAAAGGAUUGACGGGGGCCCGCACAGCGGUGGAGCAUGUGGUUUAAUUUCGAAGCAACGCGCA
rnacentral:rRNA from 1 species